UUUGCCUGGAGGUUGUAAUGGUCCGUACAGUAUCAAGUAAGAGGAAUGUUAGAGGUAAGAGACUAGCGGUGGAGCACAAAGUUUCAUUCGAAAGUACACGCUAAACCUUACCAUGCAUAAAACAUAAUUUUACUGUAUAAAAAAUUAUUGGUAUUGCAUGCCUGGUGUAAAUAAAAACUUUUUAACCAUACAUGAGAUCGCUUAUCUGGACCAAUA
rnacentral:rRNA from 1 species